rnacentral:rRNA from 1 species
UCUCAGUUCGGAUUGUAGGCUGAAACUCGCCUACAUGAAGCUGGAGUUGCUAGUAAUCGCGAAUCAGCAUGUCGCGGUGAAUACGUUCCCGGGCCUUGUACACACCGCCCGUCACACCAUGAGAGUUGGCAAUACCCAACGUACGUGAUCUAACCCGCAAGGGAGGAAGCGUCCUAAGGUAGGGUCAGCGAUUGGGGUGAAGUCGUAACAAGGUAAC